rnacentral:rRNA from 1 species
GACGAACGCUGGCGGCGUGCCUAACACAUGCAAGUCGAGCGGAGAUACAUUGAAGAGCAAUCAGAUAUGUAUCUUAGCGGCGGACGGGUGAGUAACGCGUGGGCAACCUGCCUCAUACUGGGGGAUAACACAGGGAAACUUGUGCUAAUACCGCAUAAUAUCAUUAUAGGGCAUCCUGUGAUGAUCAAAGGAGCAAUCCGGUGUGAGAUGGGCCCGCGUCCAAUUAGCUAGUUGGUGAGGUAACGGCCCACCAAGGCGACGAUUGGUAGCCGAACUGAGAGGUUGAUCGGCCACAUUGGGACUGAGACACGGCCCAGACUCCUACGGGAGGCAGCAGUGGGGAAUAUUGCGCAAUGGCCGCAAGGCUGACGCAGCAACGCCGCGUGGGUGAUGAAGGCCUUCGGGUCGUAAAGCCCUGUCAGGUGGGAGAAAGGCCUUAAGGAGAAACGCUGAGGUUGACGGUACCACCAGAGGAAGCACC